rnacentral:rRNA from 1 species
CCUGGUAGUGGGGGACAACGUUUCGAAAGGAACGCUAAUACCGCAUACGUCCUACGGGAGAAAGCAGGGGACCUUCGGGCCUUGCGCUAUCAGAUGAGCCUAGGUCGGAUUAGCUAGUUGGUGAGGUAAUGGCUCACCAAGGCGACGAUCCGUAACUGGUCUGAGAGGAUGAUCAGUCACACUGGAACUGAGACACGGUCCAGACUCCUACGGGAGGCAGCAGUGGGGAAUAUUGGACAAUGGGCGAAAGCCUGAUCCAGCCAUGCCGCGUGUGUGAAGAAGGUCUUCGGAUUGUAAAGCACUUUAAGUUGGGAGGAAGGGCAGUAAGCUAAUACCUUGCUGUUUUGACGUUACCGACAGAAUAAGCACCGGCUAACUCUGUGCCAGCAGCCGCGGUAAU